GCAGCUCCCUCUGGCCGGGGUGAGGGUCUGAGUCAGCCCAACUCAGGUAAAUGGAGGAGGCUGUGGGACUUUCCCAUCUGCACCCUGGAAAUCUGCAUGAGCAGGGCAGAGCCACCUCCCAUGGCAAGCGGGCAAGCAGAGGCCUCUGUGCCAGCUUGAGCACUGUCUGCCUCUGUGACUGACCUCACGCCUCAAAGUCCAGAGAGAGGCCUGGGAGUCUCUGCUCUCUGCCUGAGAUGUGGGGCAGGGCUCAGGACCCAGCCAAGGGCUGUUCCUAGGGCAGGAAGAGAUCUUGGAGUCCAGCAAGAUCCGGCAAGACAGGAAAAGCAUCCCUGAACAAGGGAUAUUUGAACCGAGGCCUGAAGGAGGUGGAAAGUUAUUUUAGAAACAGUGAUCACAAAACAACACGAUGAAAUGCUAACUGGAUUCCGUGGCCUGUUGAGGGCUCGGGGCUGAGGUCUGCUCUGCUUGAUGAAGGGAGAUGAGCAAGCUCUGGAGACGUGUUACAGCUGCCAGCGCCAAGGGAAGCUUUCUCUGUGGGUUCAUCAAAAGACUCAAAGAGAACUGCAGAGGGAGCCAUGUCCUCCUCAGGGCCACCUGUUGUCUAGGUCAUCUUGUGCUGGAAGCUUCUGAGGUUUGUCUGAGGGUGGACUGGGUGGGGGGUGGUGAGGAUGAGUCUCCCCAGUGCCUUUCAGAUGGGUCAGAAGGAGGGCCAAAGAUGGGGAGCCUAUUGGGAAGCCAAGCUCUAGCCCAGCCAUGAUCCAGAGAAUUCCAUGCUCACUGAUGUCUUCUCUUUCCCAAAGCCUUUUGCAUCCCUUAGGUCAGGAGACACCUGGGUUACUUUCUGGACUCCCUGUUCUCACCCCUGGAUGAAUUUGCACACUUCUAUGCCCAUACCAUGCUGUUCUGUUUUCUAUACCUCUCUCAUGUAUUUUAAUGACUGGACAGACAAGUCCUCCUUCUCAGCUCUUUUUCAAAAUUGCCUUGGCUGUUUUCACACA